UUGAAUCCUCUCGCAAAUGCGAAUAAUCAACCGCAAAGCGACGCGUAAAACAACGCACCGCUGUGAACAAGAAAAACGCGACGAUAGCACUGGUCUCAACUGUCAAAUGCACUUCCUCACAAAUUUGCAUAUCGCUCAGCGGAACGGACGAAUUUGGUGUGAGGCACGCUACGCUUAUCACACUUAUUGGUUCCUUAUUUAACACGAAGAGCACUCCGAUAUCACGAACUGCCAAGGAAUUAAUCGGACGGAAUAACAGUGAGUAAUUCUAUAUUUGGAAGCCACUGCGAGGGAAAUUGUCGGUACUGACAAAGAUCCGGAGUGAGCAAGGUGGUCAUAACUCACGGAGUAAAAUAAACCACAACGAAGACCAUUCGACAUCAUCACGCGUUAGAGUGAAAGUGUGAAUCAGAAAUCACACAAUUGCGGAAGGCGAGGUUGACGUCACGAGAUCAGUCGCUAGGAAAAAAUUCACGUGUCGCACUCCCGCACGGAUUGCAGUGACAGACAAAUACGAAGGGGAUCACACAGGCCCCCUUAUUUUUCAGAUUGCAAAUCAGCACAUCAUCGCAUUGUCUAGCGUCGUGUGACGUCAUCAUUCACCGUAUUGCAAGAGUAUCGAAAGCGAUCUUAAGUCAGUUGCUGACAUUGUGGAGCGAGAAAAGUCACACCGUGCAAUGGUGCGGAUCUGGUCCAGCGGAUGGCAUGAGUAAGCGAAGAGCUGGUUAGUUUUGCAUGCUGGCAUUUAGGAAGGUGAGCGGCAGUGAGGCGGAGGUUGGAUCAUAGGCUGGCGUAUAUGAAUAGAGUCGGGAUGGCGAUGGCAUGAGUAAGUGAAGAGCGGGAGAGAAAUGCAUGCAGGAACAUAAGGUUAGUGAACGGUACCGCGGAGGAUGUUAGAGGCUAAGGAAUAAAUAGUAAUGAAAGUAAAUGAAAAUGCAUGUUAGAAUUAGGUAAUAGUAAGAGGAGGAAGAAAUAAGUUGAGGGAGAAAAUUAGGAGAGAGAAGGAGAAGAUGGAAUGUCGGGGGAUAGCAUGUAGGAUUGAAUACAUUAUCA